rnacentral:rRNA from 1 species
GACGAACGCUGGCGGCGUGCUUAACACAUGCAAGUCGAACGGAAAGGCCCUGCUUUUGUGGGGUGCUCGAGUGGCGAACGGGUGAGUAACACGUGAGUAACCUGCCCUUGACUUUGGGAUAACUUCAGGAAACUGGGGCUAAUACCGGAUAGGAGCUCCUGCUGCAUGGUGGGGGUUGGAAAGUUUCGGCGGUUGGGGAUGGACUCGCGGCUUAUCAGCUUGUUGGUGGGGUAGUGGCUUACCAAGGCUUUGACGGGUAGCCGGCCUGAGAGGGUGACCGGCAACAUUGGGACUGAGAUACGGCCCAGACUCCUACGGGAGGCAGCAGUGGGGAAUAUUGCACAAUGGGCGGAAGCCUGAUGCAGCAACGCCGCGUGCGGGAUGACGGCCUUCGGGUUGUAAACCGCUUUCGCCUGUGACGAAGCGUGAGAGACGGUAAUGGGUAAAGAAGCACCGGCUAACUACGUG